rnacentral:rRNA from 1 species
UACGGAGGGGGCUAGCGUUAUUCGGAAUUACUGGGCGUAAAGAGCUCGUAGGCGGUGUGUCGCGUCGGUCGUGAAAACUUGGGGCUUAACCCUGAGCUUGCGGUCGAUACGGGCAUCACUGGAGUUCGGCAGGGGAGACUGGAAUUCCUGGUGUAGCGGUGAAAUGCGCAGAUAUCAGGAGGAACACCAGUGGCGAAGGCGACUACCUGGCCUGUUCUUGACGCUGAGGCGCGAAAGCUAGGGGAGCAAACGGG